GAUGAAGAACGUAGCGAAAUGCGAUACGUAAUGUGAAUUGCAGAAUUCAGUGAAUCAUCGAGUCUUUGAACGCACAUUGCGCCCCCUGGUAUUCCGGGGGGCAUGCCUGUCCGAGCGUCAUUGCUGCCCUCAAGCACGGCUUGUGUGUUGGGCCUCCGUCCUCCUCCCGGGGGACGGGCCCGAAAGGCAGCGGCGGCACCGCGUCCGGUCCUCGAGCGUAUGGGGCUUCGUCACCCGCUCUUGUAGGCCCGGCCGGCGCUUGCCGACACAUCAAUCUUUAUUCCAGGUUGACCUCGGAUCAGGUAGGGAUACCCGCUGAACUUAAGCAUAUCAAUAAGCGGAGGA
rnacentral:misc_RNA from 1 species